UACGGAGGGUCCAAGCGUUACUCGGAAUUACUGGGCGUAAAGCGCAUGUAGGCGGCUCGCUAAGUUUGGUGUGAAAGCCCGGAACUCAAUUCCGGAAGUGCAUCGAAUACUGGCGAGCUAGAGUAUAGGAGAGGUGAGUGGAAUUUCUGGUGUAGAGGUGAAAUUCGUAGAUAUCAGAAGGAACAACAGAGGCGAAGGCGACUCACUGGACUAUAACUGACGCUGAGAUGCGAAAGCGUGGGGAGCAAACAGG
rnacentral:rRNA from 1 species